GGGGAAGAAGAAGGAAAGGAGGAGGAGGUGGGGGGGCACCCACUAUGCUGUUUUCUGUGUGACUAUUACUCAGGCUCCUUUUAACUGCAAAAUGUAGACACUUUGCACAGUUGUCCCACCCUGAGGAAGGUGUGCAGAGCAAUGCUUCUGCUCCUUUUCCCCCCUUGCUUCCCUCACUUCAUGCGGUUUUGUCUCUUGCUCUCUUUCUGCUGACACUCCUUGACCGUCUUCUGGGUCCCACGCUCCACUGUGGCCCUUGCAGUGUUUCCUACCCUGUGCAGCCUCAGCUGGGUUGUGUGCCAUCCUUCAAGGCUCUCAUAAGCCCUCGGAAGCUCCACCACCUUGCUCCAUGCUCCCUGCGUCCCUUCCUACUGGGCCUGAGUUUUCUCUUCAUUACUCUCCCAUCUCUCGUUCUCUCCUCCAGGAAACAUUUCCUGCACCUGGCUUCCAGGUCCCUUCCUGAGUCUCCAGGGUUCCACCCCUCUCUGUAGAGGUUCUGUCUUAGAUCCCUUGCUGGUUCUGCUACAUCUUCCAACCUUACCACUUGCUGGAUGCCUCAGGGCUCAACCCUUGGGCCUCUUCUCUCUAUACACGCACUACUUAACCCUCUUUUUGAAUAUCAUGUAUACGCCUAUGAUUUCCAAAUUUAUUCCAAGCCCCAACCUUUUCCCUGACCUCUAGACUCCCACGUUCAACUUCCCAUUCACAGUUAUAUCAAUCUGUCUAACAAGCAUCUGCUAGUUUAUAUGGCCAAGAUUGAACUCUUAAUAAACAGAUCCUUGCUCCAAUCAUCUUGACCUUAGCGUUUUUGGCACUGACACUCAUUUAUUUAUACAAGUCUAAAUCCACAAAUUGUGCUGGACCCUUAACUGUCAUCAAGUCCAAUCAAUGAUCCCAGGAAAAUGAAUAUCCCAGAUCAUUUCAUUUCACUCCCGUCCCAGGGUCACCACCCUCAUAACUCCAUAGCAUUUCUUUCUUGGACAGCAUUCAAGGCUCCUGAUGUACUCCCUGCACCAGCUCAUACUUAUAUGGUCCAUUCUUCAUGCACUGGCCGACAUGAUCAGAAAAAAAUCAGAAUAUAUCUUCACCCGUUUAAAGGGCUUCAUGGCUCUCCCGGGCUCUUAAGAGAAAACUUGCCCUGCCUACCAAGUCCUAUCUACUUGGCUCUGGCAGCAUCUCUGAUUUCAGUUCUGCCCUUUCUCUCCUUCUCUCUUUGUGCACAAUCCAGAUGUUGCCAUCUGGGAGCCUCUGCAUGUCCUAUGCUUUCUGCCCCAAGUUCUUCUUCCGAUAUAUGUGCAUGUUUCAUUCUGUCUCACAAGAAACCUCCUUCCGUUCUUCCUCCCCUUCUCCCAGCACCUGUUGUUUCACGUUUACUUGGUUAUCUCUUUAUUGUUCAUUUCCCUCCAAGAGUGCAAACUCCUGGAGAGGAGGAACUACUCUGACUUGUUCAUUCCAGAGCCUCAGUGCCUAGGGCAGGGACAUACCCAAAAGUAACUCAGUAUUCUGACGAUGCACAGAUCAUCUUUUGGGGGGGUGACGCAGGCCAACACCCCUUGAAGUCACUUUUCUGGCUCCAUUGUCCCAGGUUCCCUAACCUCUCAGGGUACCGUUCCUCCCUCUGACUGCCACUCCUCAGAUUCUCCGGCUGUCCCCAGCCUUCUUCCUGCUUCUCCAACAGUCCUUUCUCAGUCUCACUCCUUCUUCCCUUCUCCCUGCCCCUCUGCAGACAUGCAGAAAAGAGCAGACCCAACCUGCCUCCACUCCUACUGCUGCUGGUCAGUGCUUCCUGCACCUAAUGAAGACCUCGGGCCACCCUCCCUCCCAAGGGAAGCUCUCCUGGGUCCACAUAGUAUGGGAUGUUUUCCGGCCUCCAGGUGUAGUUCUGCAGUCCGACUGUAUGUAGUGCUACAGCCCAAAAUGGACCCACAGAGCCUGCUCAGCUCCACACCAGCCUCUGGUCACCGAACAAGACCCUCCCACAGCCAUGGGAUACACAGACCAAGAAAGGAUCCAUGGAGCCCAACCUGCUGGCCUCCCCUCUCCUAAAGCUCUUCAGAUACAAAAAGGGCCUCCAAUCUUCUAGUAUCCCAAGCAAAUCUGCUGUGAUCUACAUAGCAUUGGCUUCUAUCUCAAGAUCUCAAUAGAUUCCAAGUUGAAGAUAGCCCUGCCCAGAGGAAAUCCCUGCAAUGAUGGAAGUGGUCUGUCUGUGCUGCCCACCUACGGCUCCACCGGGCACUUGAGAUCUGGGUAGUAUCAGUGAGGAACUGAAUUGUGAAUUUUACUUAAUUUUAGUUCAUUUAAAUUUACAGAGCCACACAUGGCUAAUUGCUACCUAGCCAGACAGUAUGAGGCUAGGAGAAAGGACAAACAGACAAUGGGACUCAGCUCAAACCCAAAGGAAAGACAAGAAUUUAGGGGGCUCCGGAGACUGGAACAAAUUUUCACUAAGAACUGGGCUCCUGCUCUCCUAUCCCUGACAAGGCAAAGACAUCCUCUGCCUUAGUGGCUGGCAUCUCCCAGCUCCAAGACAGUGCCUGGCACACAGUGAUUACUCAAUAAACAUGUACCUAAUGAGUGAUUGCCGGGGAGGCUGGAGAGGUGAGAUACUAACAUCUUCUUAAAUACCUGAAGUGACAGGGAGCUUGUUGCCUCCUGAGCACUGUAUUCCACUAGUGACAGGCAAUGGAAGCUGUGUCACUUAUGAAGUUGAUAUCUAUCCUCUUGUGUGCUGAGGGAGAUUUCAGUCCGAAAAAAGUGGGGAAGAUUCUGGAUUUCCACUCUACCAGCAAGAUCCUGGAGUCCUGCUGCUCAGGAGCAUGGCACUAGGAGAGCGCUCUUACUCAAUACAAACCCACUCAGGCCAGUAUGUUUGAGUAUUCAGGGGGUGCCAGACCUUCUUCACGUGGAUGCUCUCCUUAAGCCUUCAAACAGCCCCAUGAGCAGGUAGAGGUGUCACUGCUGGGGUGCAGGGGAUGUGGCCAGGGCUCCCCGAGGCAGACUUUCUCAUCCCUGCCUCACAUCAUGAUGUAAAAGGCUCCUGCUGCUGACAAAGCACUCCCAGCCCAGUCCAUGGCUCCUGAAAGCCUCCAGAGCCUCCGACCCGAAAGUCCUCCUAACUCUCCUAGUGGCCCACCUUUGUGGAUCCUCAAGAAAGAACAGCAUCCAGGCAAGCCCCUCGCUGUUCUCUGCUCUCUGCUCUCCACUCUGGGGCUCGCGUCAUUUCACACCUUUCAGUGCCCAGUGCUUCCUCCUCCAAGCCCUUCACCUGAAGCCAGCUUCCUUCACUCUGAGCCCUGCAACCAGAGCAGCCUCACUCACCAUGGCGACCCCAUCUGGCCCCUGUGACACUGGUAGAGCCUGGAUAAAAAUGCCCCACAGAGGGGUGACCUUGUACAUUUCCAGCCCUCAGUGGGCUACAAAGCCACUGGGCAGUUUGCUGAGUGCCCCCCUUGUUUUACCCCUUUCUGAUCUCUUUAGCACUUAACUCUGGCCACCACAGCCACUUUCCCAGGGCCAGAGAAGAGCAGGGAGGCCUCCAUGGUCCCCAUGUGUCCUGUGCUAGGCCACUCUGGGAUCGGGAUGGGGACACAAACAGUGCCAUCCCUGCUCCAUCCUUGAAGGUGACAUUGCCACGUUCAUCAGUAUGAACAACCCCAUUCAGCUUUAAGAACAUUUCCAGUUGUUAGAAUUACAAUUUUGCAAAAUCCCAAGCAAGGAUAAAUAAACAUUCACUCUUCUUUGCUUGAGGCCAUAGCCCUUUCCCCCGAACAGCCUCUCUCUUUAAUCGGGAGAGGCAUUCUUUUAUGCCAAACAGCUCUGGAGUUGCCAGAGCACCUCAGUGUUGGGGACCUUGUCUUCCCAUUUCUCAGUCUGUCCACCACAGAGCUCCAGGCACAUUGGAUUUGGGACCUCAUUUUUAUUUCUAAUGCCGAACUGGGAAGAGACCAAGAUAGACAGACCCGGUUCUAGGUCCACAGAGCUCCCUGACCCCCUUCUCUUGGAAGAUCACAGCUGAAUAAUAAUAAAAGUCAACAUCUAUACCACACUUUUCCAUCCAUGGAAUCAAUUAAUCUUUCCAACCAAAGCAGCUGCUGUAAUUAUGAUGAGCCCAUUUCACCAACGGGAAGCUAGGACUCAGAACAGUUAACUCACUUAUCCAAGGCCACCAACAACGUGGAAGCAGCAGAGUCCUUAUACCCAAGUCUACAGAUUUCAAAAUCUCCGUUCUCUCUAUCAUCCCAGGGCCCUUGAUCAUCUGUCUUGAAGCUAGGCAGCGUUGUGAGACUGAGAAGUCCAGAGAGGGUAAAUUAUGCUGCCUUUCGUUACUAUGUGGGAGAGUCAACUCCGUUUAGAGCUGACUUCAGUAGGGCCACUUUAUAGAGUCAGCGGUUCCUUCAGCCAGGCCCUUAUUCUGCUUCUGUCCACAAGCUGUGGAGCCUCAUUAUGGUCACCCUACAAUACAGACACCAGCGUUUCUGAAGACAGGGGAACUUCAUGCUCAGAAAACCCAUCUAAAUCUCACCCCAAGAAGUCAACUAAGAAGGAAUUAACAUAGCAAAGAGAGACCUUCCCUACUUUAUACAGUAAACCACUGCCAAUUAGCCUUACAUGGUGAACUCUCUGUG